rnacentral:piRNA from 1 species
GGUGUUUUCCUCUGGCGUCUGGAUGUGCA